UUUCAACACCAGGAGGCCUCGGGCCUGCAGGGGGCUGAAAUCAGAGAGCGUUUUACGCGUCACCUCCGACGGGCUGUCGAUUCUACUCCCAGCCGGCGCAGCCCAUAAAGGUACAGGAAGGAACAGAAGACUACACUGAUGGCAGGAACUGCACCAGGCAGGAGGCAUCUCUGCUGCAGCAGAUACGGCUCUCAUAAGUGUCACCUUGUCAGACAAGCUGCCCUGGUGGAUUCGUUUAAACAGGCCGCGGAACCCGGGCUGAAGGACGGAAACUCAAACGAAGAAAAGCAGUAGUGCACAGACGCAGGAACAACCCGGAUCACUGGAAGAAAAUCCGUCCCCUGCCUGUCGUUACUGUGGCCAUGAAUAUGCACGAUGAAUUCAUCACAGGCGAUCUUAGAAGACACAAAGAUAGCAGACCCCUUCAAGGUGAUGCGAUUCAUAUAUUUAUAUCACCGAGUGAACAUACACACUAUCAGAUGAGCAACUGUCUGCUGUGACGGAAACAGGUGACGGUCCUGGGCCAAUAAACUAACCCUCUUGCUUUAUUACUCGUUGUCAUACCAGUUUCUGUCUCCACAGACAACGUCCAAUGUAACUGUGGGUACCAAGAGCUCCCAAAGCCCACCUUGUCCCUCCAGGCGACGGGGGCUGAGACGUGACGUUUGGGACGUGUGAAAUCCCAACUAUACUGUAAAAUAACGUAUCUGUUUGCAUUGUCUUGUGCCGCGGAUAACAACCCCGUCUGGGGCUGACGAAUGCUUUGUGUCGAUUGACAGAACUAACUUUUCUGCUGACUCCUGAGUGAGCGUCUUCAGGCGUUUUCAUUUGCUUUUUAUCGCUCUGCAGGUCUGAGAAGGAGCGUCUGCAGCGCGUCAGAUAGCGUGACGAUAACACAACCGUGUUGCGUGAUCACACCAAGCGCAUUGCAGCAGGUUCACAUGCACACAAUGAAAAGAGCCAAAGAGCCAAUAAAUAUUUUUGUACCUCG
ensembl:lncRNA